AGUGAACGCUGGCGGCAGGCCUAAUACAUGCAAGUCGAACGGCAGCACAGCAGAGCUUGCUCUGUGGGUGGCGAGUGGCGGACGGGUGAGGAAUACAUGGGAAUCUGCCCAGUCGUGGGGGAUAACGUAGGGAAACUUACGCUAAUACCGCAUGCGCCCUUCGGGGGAAAGCCGGGGACCUUCGGGCCUGGCGCGAUUGGAUGAGCCCAUGUCGGAUUAGCUAGUUGGCGGGGUAAUGGCCCACCAAGGCGACGAUCCGUAGCUGGUCUGAGAGGAUGAUCAGCCACACUGGAACUGAGACACGGUCCAGACUCCUACGGGAGGCAGCAGUAGGGAAUAUUGGACAAUGGGCGCAAGCCUGAUCCAGCCAUGCCGCGUGAGUGAAGAAGG
rnacentral:rRNA from 1 species